ensembl:rRNA 5S_rRNA 5S ribosomal RNA
GCCUAUGGCCAUACCACCCUGUCUGAUCUUGGAAGCUAAGUAGGAUUGGGCUUGGUUAGUACUUGGAUGGAGACCACUUGGAAAUACCAGUUGCUGUAGGCU